rnacentral:rRNA from 1 species
AGGUAGCAUAAUCAUUUGUUAUCUAAAUGAUAACUAGUAUGAAUGGUCUGACGAGAAAAUAACUUUCUAAAAAGAAGAGAUGAAAAUUUAUUUAAAAGUAAAAAAGCUUUAAAGCUUUAGAAAGACGAGAAGACCCUAGAACCUGUUCUAUUCAUAUAGUUUGUUGGGGUGACAUUAUUCAAAACAAAUAACUAUUAAAACUUAUUAAUUGACUCUAUCUAUCUUUAUUAAAAAAAAAAAAGGUACUCUAGGGAUAACAGCAUAAUCUUCUUCUAGAGCCCUAAUCGACAAGAAAGAUUUUGACCUCGAUGUUGAAUUGAUAUUUCUUUCUAAAGCAGAA